GGGGGGGUGGUGUGAUGGUGCAGGAUGGGAUUCAGAGGCUGAGAGCUAUGUUUGUGCAUAAGAGGAUUUUUCAAGAUCAAAACUUGCAUAUUUUAUAAACUUGCAUAUUUUAUACUCCCUCUGUCUCGAUAGGCUUACUUUCUUUCUUUUUUUUAAAAUUAUUUGUCUCAAAUUUUAGGCCACUUUUCUUUUUUUUUUUUA
rnacentral:misc_RNA from 1 species